AACGAACGCUGGCGGCAUGCCUAACACAUGCAAGUCGAACGAGACCUUCGGGUCUAGUGGCGCACGGGUGCGUAACGCGGGGGAACCUGCCCUUAGGUUCGGAAUAACUCCCCGAAAGGGGUGCUAAUACCGGAUAAUGUCUUCGGACCAAAGAUUUAUCGCCUUUGGCUGGGCCCGCGUUGGUUUAGCUAGUUGGUAGGGUAAAAGCCUACCAAGGCGACGAUCCAUAGCUGGUCUGAGAGGAUGAUCAGCCACACUGGGACUGAGACACGGCCCAGACUCCUACGGGAGGCAGCAGUGGGGAAUAUUGGACAAUGGGCGAAAGCCUGAUCCAGCAAUGCCGCGUGAGUGAUGAAGGCCUUAGGGUUGUAAAGCUCUUUUACCCGGGAUGAUAAUGACAGUACCGGGAGAAUAAGCGCCGGCUAACUCCGUG
rnacentral:rRNA from 1 species